UACGAAGGGUGCAAGCGUUGUUCGGAAUUACUGGGCGUAAAGAGCGCGUAGGCGGUCUAUUAAGUCAGGCGUGAAAGUCCCGGGCUCAACCUGGGAAUUGCCGUUUGAUACUGGUAGGCUUGAGAUUCAGAGAGGUGAGUGGAAUUCCUAGUGUAGCAGUGAAAUGCGUAGAUAUCGGGAGGAACACCUGUGGCGAAAGCGGCUCACUGGACCACAACUGACGCUGAGGCGCGAAAGCUAGGGGAGCAAACAGG
rnacentral:rRNA from 1 species